rnacentral:rRNA from 1 species
CCUACGGGAGGCAGCAGUGGGGAAUAUUGCACAAUGGGCGCAAGCCUGAUGCAGCCAUGCCGCGUGUAUGAAGAAGGCCUUCUGGUUGUAAAGUACUUUCAGCGGGGAGGCAGAGAGUGAAGUUAAUCCCUUUGCUCAUUGACGUUACCCGCAGAAUCAGCACCGGCUAACUCCGGGCCAGCAGCCGCGGUAAUAAGGAGGGUGCAAGCGUUAAUCGGAAUUACUGGGCGUAAAGCGCACGCAGGCGGUUUGUUACGUCAGAUGUGAAAUCCCCGGGCUCAACCUGGGAACUGCAUCUGAUACUGGCAAGCUUGAGUCUCGGAGAGGGGGGCAGAAUUCAAGGUGUAGCGGUGAAAUGCGUAGAGAUCUGGAGGAAUACCGGUGGCGAAGGCGGCCCACUGGACGAAGACUGACGCUCAGGUGCGAAAGCGUGGGGAGCAAACAGGAUUAGAUACCCCUGUAGUC